rnacentral:sRNA from 1 species
GAUACUUAUAGAUCUGUAUCUCAGCAUAUGAAUCUGUGAAGCUUUGGAAAGGAUUGAUGGUUUAAUCUGAAAGUGUAAGUAAUUGGAUGUGCAGCGUGGCCCAGGGCUGCCUUGGGAACAGGUGUGCCUGCUGCCUGCGUGGCUCCUCCUCCAAGCCGACCCUGCAGUUGCUGGCAUCCUCCCUAGGUGGGGUGUGCACAGAUCUAGAAACACACGAGUGCACACAUCAACACUUGACUUUUUGCCCAGCUCUGCCAUGGCCGAGGUUGCAGGACAAGCAGUAGACAGGGCUGUGGGCUCCCGUUCCCAUCCAGGAUAAUAGGGCGACAGGGAACCUCUGCAGCCAGCUUCAGGGACCACUGCCCAACCUGACAUGCAGCUGGGGUCUUCCCUUUGUGGAGAUGAAGUUGUCUGCGUGCUGCAGAAAGCUACGUGGCUGUGACACCUUCUGCACCCUGGCUAAGGGUCCGCUCAGAUGGAAAAAUGUCUUCAGGGUUUUGAAAGUUCCCUGCCUUUCUUUUUAAAUAUAGCUGCCACUGUUCAUCCUUUUGUAGCAGUUUAGAAAACACCUCAUGGUCAUUCCCUUGACUCAAUUAUUGCUGGCAUUAGCAGUGUCACUGUGAAUGUUUCUUUCAAAAGCAUGAGUGCUGAGAGGAAACUGCUUUUCUUAAAAACUUAAAAAAUCUUUAGUCUUCGGACUCCCCCACCCAGGCUACCAGACAUUUGAGCAAAGGAAGUAUCAUGGUGAUCUGGGCAAAGAGAGUAGGGAGUACUCAUAAAACAUUUAUUGAAAAGCUUACGACUGGAAAUGCCUAUUUUGGAAUGUUGUUUUGAGUGCAGACAUUGGCCGCCCAAGUGUCUUGUGCCUCUGGACACUGACUUCCCAGGCGGGAGAAACUGGGGUCUCCCUGGGGGAGGGGGCGCGUGAACUCUCGAAGGCAAAGGCCAGAGUGCACCUGCUUGAUAACCUUCGAAGUGUAGAGAGGUUGGCAAAGCCGCGGUUACUGAAUUAAUGGAAGCAACUUGUAAUUCAAGAUGCACGAUUUUAAAAAUGGUUCAGUAAAGACUGCCUUGUAAUCGGGGCGAUGCUUCUCUGCUGUGUCAGGCUGGGCUGCGGCCUCCUUGACUACCGGGAGCAGGCUCAGCAGAUAGAACUGAAGACCGGAGGGAUGAGCGCUUCUCCCCACGUGCUUCCCGACGACUCGCACAUGGACACCUACGAGCAGGUAGCCUGUUACCGUCAGAUGACAGCUGCGGUGGGAAGCUUUUCUCCAGUGUCUGUCACUGAUUUGGCCGUAAUUCCUUUCUUCUUCUGUGUUUUCUUUGGUUCAGGGUGUGCUUUUCUCCUCUCUCUGCCUGGAUCGAAACCUGCCAGACAUGAUGCAUCUAUGGAGUGAAAUAUUUAACAAGUAACUUUAUUUGCAAGGGUUGUCCAUUCUUGGGGUGUACUAGAGGCCUUCGUUUGAAGUGCUUUAAAGGAGACAGUUGUACUCGUGUGUGCUGUUGAUUUCCAAGUCUGACUUUUACUUAUAGUUCAUACGGACUUAUAAAAUUUCUUUGGUUGUUAAAGUAGUCUGAAAACUUAAUCAACUUUCCAUGAUACUGAAGGGACAUGAUGAAUGGGUCUCCAGGAAUUUUUUCUUCUUUUUCCAUAGCCCGUGCUUUGAAGAAGAGGAGCACUUCAAGGUGCUGGUGAAGAUGACCGCCCAGGAGCUCACCAAUGCAAUUCCCGACUCCGGGCACCUGUACGCGUCCAUCAGGGCAGGCCGGACCCUCACGCCCGCAGGGGACCUGCAGGAGACCUUCAGCGGGAUGGAUCAGGUGCAGCUGAUGAAGAGGAUUGCAGAAAUGACAGACAUCAAACCCAUCCUGAGGAAGCUCCCACGUAUCAAGAAACACUUGUUAAAUGGUGAUAAUAUGAGGUGUUCAGUGAAUGCAACUCCUCAGCAGAUGUCUCAGACAGAAAAAGCAGUCGAAGACUUCCUUAGAAGCAUCGGUCGGAGUAAGAAGGAACGGAGGCCUGUGCGCCCACACACGGUCGAGAAACCUGUGCCCAGCAGCUCUGGUGGAGAUGCCCACGUUCCCCAUGGCUCCCAGAUCAUUAGGAAGCUGGUCACGUUUUACAGUGAGAAACUGUGUGGAGUGACGGAACUGCAGUGCCUUGCUCUUGCGUCCCAGCACCUGGCUGCAGACUGUCACGGAGAUGGGACCCCUGAGAUGGGUCCAGUCCCAGUGCCGUGGGCGGUGGUGGCAGCACAGCCGCCUCUGACCUCUGAGAUGGGUCCAGUCCCAGUGCCGUGGGUGGUGCGUGGCAGCACAGCCGCCUCUAACCACACCUUGUCCCUCAGGAACCCACCUUCAAGCCCUGGCAGAUGAAGACUCACUUCCUGAUGCCCUUCCCGGUGAAUUACGUGGGCGAAUGCAUCCGAACUGUCCCCUACAUGGACCCAGAUCAUGCCAGUCUUAAAAUCCUUGCACGUUUGAUGACUGCUAAAUUCUUGCAUACAGAAAUUCGAGAAAAAGGCGGCGCUUAUGGCGGAGGCGCAAAACUCAGCCACAAUGGGAUUUUCAGCCUUUACUCUUACAGGGACCCAAAUACAAUAGAGACGCUCCAGUCUUUUGGGAAGGCUGUCGACUGGGCUAAGUCUGGAAAAUUCACACAGCAAGACAUCGACGAAGCCAAACUUUCUGUCUUCUCCACCGUAGAUGCUCCUAUCGCUCCUUCAGACAAAGGAAUGGACUACUUCUUGUACGGCCUUUCGGAUGGGAUGAAGCAGGCCCACAGGGAGCAGCUCUUUGCUGUCAGCCACGACAAGCUCCUGGCCGUGAGCAAUAGGUACCUCGGCACUGGGAAGAGCACACACAGCCUGGCCAUCCUUGGACCUGAGAACCCGAAAAUCGCCAAGGACCCAUCCUGGACCAUCCGAUGAGCAGCUGUGGCGUUCAUGCGCCACUGCACGGGAGCCCGAGACAAUAUGCCUCUGAGCUGAACAUGAAAAGUCAGAAAUGCUGCUUUUUCCAAGAAUAUUAUGUCAUUCUUAAAGUGUCGUCAAAGCCCUUGACUGGCGAGUCAGACAAAAACUCAGAUCUAUCUUAAGAGCAACCAGGAAGAGGUUCAUUGAAAUAAUCAUGCAUGAAGCAGCAAAGAUGCACCAUGUAGAAUUUUCACUUUCUACUGAUAGGCUUGUUUUACUUCAUUAAUUCUAGAAUAUUUAUUUAAGAAUCUAAAAAUAAAGGGCAACUCUGACUUAA